ACUCCUUCGAGUGGCCAGUGGGCGGCGCCGGAGAGAUGCCCCUCCAGACACCGAGGCUGGUGGGACUGGAGCAGGGUCUGUGUCCAAGGGGCAUAACUCGGCCGGGCCAAUAAGUCAUAGAGACGUGGAAAGUAACAUAGCAAGACGUCCUCCAACCAAGAUGUUUCCAGCUGGAGGCUCCUGAGACCUGCUGGGCUGCAGCAGAGACAGGGGCUGCACCCGCCCCCCAGCUUUGGGGCCCCAGCCCCAUCCUCCCCUCCAGCUGGGGAUGGACAGCUCCAGGAGGGACAGACAGAGUGUGUGCUCUGCCUCCCCCACCGGCAGCUCCUACAAGCGCACCCAAGGAGGUCCGAGGAAAGAGUUCCACACUAUUGCACACCCCAAGAGGAUAAAGCCAGGUGUUUUCUUCAAGAAGAAGUAUAUUUCUGUCCAGAAGAGCAAUUAGAAAAACUUUCACCAGCUUAGAAAACGGGAUGGAACCAAGCCUCCGGGUCCAUCUGCCCUGCAGCCUGGCACCCCCCCAUCCCAGGCUCAUCGCAAGUUCAGAGAGAGGCUGAUGAGGGGCUGGCCAGCCCACUGGAGCUGCCUUUGAGAAAAUGAUGGCGAGGUUAAAGGAGAAAAUAAGUUACAUUACAGUUUCCAAAGUGGUUCUCACUCUCCGCUGAAGAUGGGCCACCGGCAGGGCUGAAAUGCACUCUCGGUCCCAGCUUGUGCUUUGCAAGAAGAGG